AUGUUAUUCAAGGCAUCAAUAGAAAACCCCAUUUUUGUAGGUUCUACUUACUUUCAUUGGCUUCGGAAUAAUAGAGUAAUUCGGAAUAGCAGCCAAAAUCUUGGGAAAAUCUAA
rnacentral:rRNA from 1 species